UGACUGAGACCUUCAGCUGUUCUGGGGAGGGAGCGGGGCCACUGCCGGUGGGGGGAGGAGGGAUGCGGGGCGGGAGUCGCGGGGGGCUGAGGCCGCGGCGACUGGACAGUGACCCGAAGGACCCAGGCUGGCAGGAGCGAGAGAGAAGCGCGGGAGGUGGGAACCAACAGAGGCUGAUCUUGCUCGGGAGAGCGAGAGGUGCUGAGGUCCUAGAAUCACUGUCUUAACCACCCACUUCUGCCGCCGGAGAGUGAAGGCAGCCAUGGAUAAUAUGCAGACAAAUGGGUGGGGUACACACACUCCCCAGCUCACCCCCCAUGGAGGCUCUGAACAGCAGGGGCGCUGCUGCCACCUGGUGGCCACCCAUGGUACUGCAUGCAGCUUCCGGGUCAGCAGGAACCUACCUGGGGCAGGUGGGGC